GGGUGUGUGAAUGAUAAUGUUGCAGGAGAGUUGGCCGGAGACUGCUGGGAACAUACACUCUGUAGUGUAUUUGAUCAUUUUUCAGAACAAUAUCGGUCACUGGAAGCUCUGAAAGUUGAUCCGUCUGUUGCUUGGUGUAAAGUGCUGUGAUAGGAGUCUUUGCUGUGACUGAUGACCUGGACAGAGCAUCAGGGGCGACGUUUAAUUUCCCUUUACGGUAUUCAAUGACAAAGUUGAAUUUUUGCAAUCUUAAGACCCAUCGGAUGAGGCGGCUGGUUGGUUUAGUGGAUCCCAUGACCCAUUGCAGAGCGGAAUGGUCUGUGACAACCGUGAAAACCUUGUAUUCCAGGUAAUGUUGCCACUUCUCUAAGGCCCAUAUAACUGCCAGACACUCUUUUUCUGUUGCCGUGUAGUUGAUCUCUGCUCCAGUUAAUGUUCGACUGGCAUAUGCAAUAACCUCCUCCCUACCUAGUUCUUUUCUCUGCCAGAGAAUGGCUCCCAGUCCAGUAUCACUGGCAUCUGUGUAAACAAUGAACGGGACUUGCAGAUCAGGGUGGCCGAGAAUGGGGGGCGAGGGAAUUGAGGGGCUCAGCAAUUUUAGAAAAAUUUGGCACAAACCGAUGGUACCAACCGGCUAAUCCCAAGAACCUCUGAACUUCCUUCAAGGUGUUGGGAGCAGGAAAGGCACGAAUGGCUUUAACUUUACUUGGAUCAGCUGUGAUGCCCUUAUUGCUCACCACGUGUCCUAGAAAGGUGAUUUUUGGAAGGAAAAAAUUGCACUUUUUCAAGUUAAUAGUGAGACCGGCAGUUUCCAGCCUGUGGAGAACAGUUUUCAGGUCAUAGAAGUGUUGAACUACUGACGAAGAAUAAAUGAUAAUGUCGUCAAUAUAGACAAAGCAUAUUUUCUUUCUUAGCUCCCCCAGGACUGUCUCCAUCAGCCUCUGGAAGGGUCCAUCAUCACUUGCCAAUAUCCACAGUUAAGGUCUAGAGUGGAGAAAAUGGAUGCCCCGGAGAGUGAUUCUAGGAUCUCAGUGAUGUUCGGAAGAGGAACUACAGGUGAGGCCCAAGCAGAAUGUGAUGGCUCCACAAUCCCCUCUUUCAACAUUACUUCCAAUUGUUCCUCCAUUGCUUGUUGCUUGACAGGGGAUAACCGAUAUGGCCGUUGUUUGAUAGGAACCUGGCAGGUAGUAUAGAUGUAAUGU